AUCUGUGAGGCAUGCAGGAGAGAGCAUCAGGUCAGCACUGUUACUCACCUCUGCCAAGUGCCCCCAGGCCCACACUGCAGGGUUACAUGCUUGCUAGGAUUGGGGUGUGGGUGGGGUGAUGCUGCUGUGGAUAGAACUCAUGCUGAGCAGCCUCUAUUCCUAUAAUUUCACCUGCUCACACCCAGAACACCUUGCCCCUCUGUCCAAAAUUCCAUCAUCACUGUUUUAUGUUUGAAAGCUAAGAAUUUUUCUCCCUUCUCCAUACUGGUUAUAUAGCCUAGACCAAAUAUUGAGGAUGUUGGUGACAAAAUAAUAACAAACACAUAUAGCACUUGUCUUGCAAGGAAUCUGGGAGGUAGGCAGAGCAUUGACUUUGACUUCAGUAUACAAUUCGUCUGACACUUCAUCUUCCUCAAAGCAACCUCUACACACCCUCUCAAUAGUAACCCUGAUGGCCUUUUUCGCUGUGGCCUGUUCUGGGUACUGAUUUGUGGAGGGAUUAGGGGACAGGAGGUCAGGGAAACACCUCUCUAAGGGAUAAGCAGAGCCCAUGGUGAGAGAGAUCUCCUGGCUGUAUGGGGCCCAGAGGCCGCUCCAUCCCUGUGAGGCCAGCUUCUGAAGGGCAAAAAAUACACAAUUCUUGUUGAGCAGAAUGUCUGGAACAUCUGAGGAUAACCUUAGGGAGGCAUCUAUUAGCAACAGAACAGUAUCAGAUCCAUCAGUAUCACUGAGCCCAGAAGUGGGGUCAUGACCUUUCAGAUGGCUGGAUACACUGAAAGCUGUUAGAUCAGAUUUGGGACCCACAGAAGGUGCUAAGGUCUGAGGGUUGGAAGGAGGAGGGCAUUUCAAUUUGGCUUCCUCUGGAACUUUAUAAGGUAGCACUACAUACCCAAUGGACAACUAACCAGUCAUUGUCUUUCAUUUUUGUUCACUCAGUCAAAUAUUUACUGAAUGCAUACAUGUGCCAAGCAUUGGGCUGGGAAUGAGUAAAAGAGAAAAAAUAACUCCUGUCAUCACGGGGCAUGGCCUAGUGGGAAACAAGCAUGGAAGAACCAGUAACAUAAAAGAGAGUAGAUUUAUAAUUCUGAUUAGUGCCAUAAAAGAGAAGCAUAUGAAGUACUAGGGUGAUGUGACCUAGUGACUAGUGGGGGAGAUAAGGUGAUCCUGAGAUCUGAAAGGUGGGUAGAAGGUAAUUAGUGAAUGCAGUGGGGGAUAAAGUAUGUGGCAGAGAAAUCUCUGUUAACAAAAACCAUUUCCUCUACCUUCUGAGCACACAGCUAGACUGUGCAUCUUCUUGCCUCCCACCCAGGCAGCCAGACGUGGUCAUACGACUCAGUUUUAGCCAAAGCAAUCUUGGUGGAAGUAGUAAAUGCCAUUUCCAGGUAUAGACUGUUCAAAACCUCUUGCUUGUCCUCUACAUCUAUCAACUACCUAUCUACCAGAUGCCUAGGAUCCAAUAAAGUACUCUUAUGGCCCUAUGGGAUGCCAGAGCCAGAGGGGCCUGAUCUCUGAGUGAUCACCAGCCAAUCAGUGGAUUUUUGUAAAAGCAAUAAAGAAACUUUUAUUGUGUUAAGUCAUUAAGAUUUUAAAAAGUUUGUUGCAGUAGCUGGUAUUACUUACUCUGAUUAAUGCAGAAAGGAAGUGUUACGUGCAAAGAGAACAAUGUGUAAAAGGCCUAACAGCAAGGAGGAAAAAAGCCUAUUGGGGGGAUUUAAAGACAGUAGUGUGAUUAAAGCAGAGAAAAAGGUUGCUUCUGCAAAAUGAGGCCGAUGAUGGAAAUAUGAACCAGAUUGAUGCUAUUUUAAAGAAUUUGGUCCUUGGGGAACCCAUUAAAUGAUUUUUUAGAAAUAUGAGGACCUAAAUUUGACAAGAUUUGGUGAUGGAGGAGAUAUGAUAGGGAGGAGCAAUGUAAAGGAGAGAGGAGUAUAAGGAUGACUACCAGGUUUUAGCUUGAGUAAUGGAUGAUGGAGUUAUUCCCUAAGGUAUGGAAUAACAAAAGAACAUCAGAUUUGAAGGGAAAGAUCAUUAAUGCACUUGGAAACAUGUACUUUAGAGGUACCUUUGAGACCUCAAAGUAGAUAUUCAUGUAGAUAGUUUAUACUCUGGUUUGGAGUACAGAGGAAUGGUCCAUAUGGGAGUUAUAAAUUUGUGAGUCAGUGGGCCAAUGGGUAUGUGAAGGCACCCCUAGGAGGAUUAUGACAUGCAUCCUCAGAGAGUACAGAGUGAGAGAAGAAAAGGAACUAGGGGUGGGCUUUGAUCAUAGAUCCUAGACCAUGGACAGCAAACCUUUUCAGUCAAGGGCUAAGCAAUCAAUGUUUUAGGAUUUGCAGGUCAUUACUAUUUACCUUAGCUGUUGUAGCACAAAAGCAGCUAUUGACAAUUAAUGAACAAAUAAGUGUGUGACUCUUCCAACAAAACUGCACAGAUGUACUCUAAAAUUUGAACUUCAUAUAAUUUUAAUGUCAUGAAGUGUUGUCCUUCUUUUGAUUUUUCACAACCAUUUAAAAAUGUAAGAAUCACUUUUAGUCGAAACUAAUAUAAUAUUCUAUGUCAAGCUGUAAUUAUUUAAAGUAAAAAAAGUUGAAAGUGAUUAUUUUAUUUUUGACACAAAAAUUACUAGACUUCUGAGAUAAUAUUAUGAGCGUAAGUUUCCAUUUCAAGGCAAAAUUGGUUUUAAAAUUUGUAACUUCAGCAUAUUGAAUAUUAAUUUCAACACAAGUAGCUCAGUAUUCUUUGAUCUGAUCAAAACAUCAUUAAUUCAUCUAACAAACUUACUGAGUAUCUAUCAUGUAUCAGGUGCUAUUCUAGAUAAUGGAGAUAUAAGUAAAACAAUGUUUUAGAUCUCAAAAAAAAAAAAAAAAAAAGAAAAGAAACCCCAUCCUACAUUCUGGCAGUAGACAACUGGUAGCAGACAAAAAUAUAUGCAUGUUAGGUGGUUACCACCAUAAAGGAAAACAUCAUUAAAGUCUCCAGUGAGAAAAACACACCUGAAUAAAUUAUAUCAUAACUUUUCUUGAGUCCAACAGAGAGUUAAAGUCUCAGGGUGAUCAAGUGGCCUGAAAUCUAAAGUUAGAUGGGCGACAUGAAGGAGAGAUGGGACAUAAAUACUGGUUUACUUGCAACAGAAUACAAGUAUCACACAAGCAUUUAAGAAUAAAUCAGCUAGAGCCGCAUGCAGCCAGCACUUGUCCGAGGAGUGGCAGUCACAUGAGCAGCCCACCCCCAUCCGAGGAGCGGCAGCCCCCGCAAGCAGCCCACCCCUGACCAAGGAGCAGUAGCUGCGCAGAGUCCAUUCCCAUCUGAGGAGCAGCAGCUGUGCAAGCAGCCCAUCCCGUCCUAGGAGUAGCAGCCACAUGCAGCCUGCCCCCAUCAAAGGAGCAGCAGCCUCAUGAGCAGCCCACCCCUGUCCGAGGAGCAGCAGCUGCAUAAGCAGCCUGCCCCCACCAGCCAGAGGAGUCACAACUGCUGUGAGCAGCACCCACCAGAGAAGCCACAGCCAACGUAGGAGCAGCCACUGCCAUGACUGCCUGAGGAGCAGCCACCACCUGAGGAGCAGCUCCUGAACUACUUGACACCUAGAUCCUUCAGUGAGAGCAAAAAUAGGGAGACGAAGAAGCCCCCAAAGGAAA